UGAGUGAGAGAGAUGGAGGAGAAAGGGUUGAGAGGAAUGAAGGAGGUGAAUAAGGGUUUGGGGUUUCUUUUUUUUAGUUUUGAGAAUGAAAAUUAUUAAAAUAAGGCAAAUGUUUCUUAUUUUUUUCAAUUGGAGAUAGAGUAGGGAUGAAAGGGAAAAUGUUAGAGUGGAAGAGAUGAAAGAGAAAGGGUUGAGAGGAAUGAGAGAGGUGGGUAAGGGUUUCGGGUAGAGCUGUCAAAACGGGUAACCCGGCUCGACCCGGCCCGGCCCACCACGGGUUGGUCACUUAGUGAGUCAACCCAACCCGGCUCAUUU
rnacentral:lncRNA from 1 species